AUUCGACCAGUAUUUGUUUAUCCAGGUUUUUAAACACAAUAGGAGGUAUCUUUUUUCUGACACGCUAGGACAAGUAAAUAACACGUGUUAUCUGGAAGGCACUGUAAUAUCAGAUAUUUUAUAAUUAUUUUUGACGAGGACCGUAAUUAUAUUUAAAUUAAAAUUGCAGUUAACACGCCUGGCCACGACAGUUGCAGUGCUGCUCAUAGCUUUAAAUCGCAAAGAUUUGAUCGGCACUGGCAAUGCGCCCAUCAUCCUCACAUCAAGUUAUGAAGUCCCAUGUGCCUUUCAUUACACGAGUUGUGGUGACGUGCUUAUAUACCCUAAUAUGAACAUAUGCACCUACACAGUGGAACUCCUGACUAUUUUGGACAAGGGCUAGAAUCAAUGCAACAUGAACACACAAGGUCUAGGAGGGCCCACCCCAAAUGAAAUGGGACAUAACUGAAAAAGAUAUGAACAUGGAACCAAGCCAUGUGAAUUUUGACCACUCGUUUUUGUACGAGACUAUUGACAUGAAGUUACAUCUAUAUUACAUGUUGUCGAUGGACAGGAUGCUCUUCUGAAACUCAACCCUGGUACAUUUAUAAUUCUACAGGAUUUGCGUUACUUGGAGCAUUGCCCAGUAGUCUGCUUCACACACUGUAUAACGGCGGCGGUGUCACACCGCGUCAAACACCGUUUCGUCAGCUACAACAACGCCAGUAUCAUCUCUAGGAACCCUGUCUUUAUUUGGAUCAAGUUAUAAGAAUGCAAGCACUUUUAUUAAAACACUGUUAAGAAGAAUUCCACUUCAAUAUUCACCAACGAAACUCAAUUAUAUUUUAUAGACAAUUUUCAAUAGACAUUUUCUGGUUUUGAAAAUGGUGUAGUAGUUGGGGUUUUUGCUGUAGCAGCAAAAGGUGCAGUUGUGUUUCUUGUUAGAUGAACGAUGUGCAAACGGGUCAGAUUCAGGCCACCGAGAUUAAUUUGAGGUACAAUUUGUUUGUUUUGUGACACAACAAAUGAGUGAGUGGGUAGUAUUCUUAAACCAUCAACGAAGCUGCUUCGAAGUGCUGCUAAGUAAAAACAUUUCCGUGGCGCUUCCAAAUCUUGCUAAAAACAAAAUUACAAAUUCUCGAGGUGAAGUAUUGGGUAACAAAGUGAGGAAGUAUAUUUCGAUUGCUCCUUUUGUAACCGACUUCAAAAAAGAGAUUUUCAAUUCGACUGUAUGUGUUUUUGCAUGUAUGUUACACGAUAACUUCGCCAUUUGUGAACCGAUUUUGAU